AACCGGGAUUAGAUACCCGGGUAGUCCCAGCUGUAAACGAUGCUCGCUAGGUGUCAGGUGCGGUGCGACCGCAUCUGGUGCCGCAGUGGAAACUUGAAGCGACUCACCUGGGGAGUACGGUCGCAAGGCUGAAAAUUAAACGAAUCGGCGGAGCACCACUACAACUGAAGCUUCCGGUUUUAUUGGAUUCAACGCCGGGAAUCA
rnacentral:rRNA from 1 species